GUCUGGGAAACUGCCUGAUGGAGGGGGAUAACUACUGGAAACGGUAGCUAAUACCGCAUAACGUCGCAAGACCAAAGAGGGGGACCUUCGGGCCUCUUGCCAUCGGAUGUGCCCAGAUGGGAUUAGCUAGUAGGUGGGGUAACGGCUCACCUAGGCGACGAUCCCUAGCUGGUCUGAGAGGAUGACCAGCCACACUGGAACUGAGACACGGUCCAGACUCCUACGGGAGGCAGCAGUGGGGAAUAUUGCACAAUGGGCGCAAGCCUGAUGCAGCCAUGCCGCGUGUAUGAAGAAGGCCUUCGGGUUGUAAAGUACUUUCAGCGGGGAGGAAGGUGUUGAGGUUAAUAACCUCGUCAAUUGACGUUACCCGCAGAAGAAGCACCGGCUAACUCCGUGCCAGCAGCCGCGGUAAUACGGAGGGUGCAAGCGUUAAUCGGAAUUACUGGGCGUAAAGCGCACGCAGGCGGUCUGUCAAGUCGGAUGUGAAAUCCCCGGGCUCAACCUGGGAACUGCAUUCGAAACUGGCAGGCUAGAGUCUUGUAGAGGGGGGUAGAAUUCCAGGUGUAGCGGUGAAAU
rnacentral:rRNA from 1 species